rnacentral:rRNA from 1 species
AGGCUUAACACAUGCAAGUCGAGCGGGCAUAGCAAUAUGUCAGCGGCAGACGGGUGAGUAACGCGUGGGAACGUACCUUUUGGUUCGGAACAACUGAGGGAAACUUCAGCUAAUACCGGAUAAGCCCUUACGGGGAAAGAUUUAUCGCCGAAAGAUCGGCCCGCGUCUGAUUAGCUAGUUGGUGAGGUAAUGGCUCACCAAGGCGACGAUCAGUAGCUGGUCUGAGAGGAUGAUCAGCCACAUUGGGACUGAGACACGGCCCAAACUCCUACGGGAGGCAGCAGUGGGGAAUAUUGGACAAUGGGCGCAAGCCUGAUCCAGCCAUGCCGCGUGAGUGAUGAAGGCCCUAGGGUUGUAAAGCUCUUUUGUGCGGGAAGAUAAUGACGGUACCGCAAGAAUAAGCCCCGGCUAACUUCGUGCCAGCAGCCGCGGUAAUACGAAGGGGGCUAGCCGUUGCUCGGAAUCACUGGGCGUAAAGGGUGCGUAGGCGGGUCUUUAAGUCAGGGGUGAAAUCCUGGAGCUCAACUCCAGAACUGCUUUGAUACUGAAGAUCUUGAGUUCGGGAGAGGUGAGUGGAACUGCGAGUGUAGAGGUGAAAUUCGUAGAUAUUCGCAAGAACA